GCUGAGAUGUCCGAGCGGUCUAAGGAGCUGGAUUCAAGUCUUCAUCACCUUGCAUGUGUCAUGUGUACCUCCCAGUAGGGCAACCUGCAGGGGUUCGAAUCCCCUUCUCAGCA
rfam:Melampsora larici-populina 98AG31 unplaced genomic scaffold MELLAscaffold_93, whole genome shotgun sequence.